rnacentral:rRNA from 1 species
CGCUAUCCAUCCUACGGGAGGCAGCAGUGGGGAAUAUUGCACAAUGGGCGCAAGCCUGAUGCAGCCAUGCCGCGUGUGUGAAGAAGGCCUUCGGGUUGUAAAGCACUUUCAGUCGUGAGGAAGGUAGUGUAGUUAAUAGCUGCAUUAUUUGACGUUAGCGACAGAAGAAGCACCGGCUAACUCCGUGCCAGCAGCCGCGGUAAUACGGAGGGUGCGAGCGUUAAUCGGAAUUACUGGGCGUAAAGCGCAUGCAGGUGGUUUGUUAAGUCAGAUGUGAAAGCCCGGGGCUCAACCUCGGAAUUGCAUUUGAAACUGGCAGACUAGAGUACUGUAGAGGGGGUAGAAUUUCAGGUGUAGCGGUGAAAUGCGUAGAGAUCUGAAGGAAUACCGGUGGCGAAGGCGGCCCCCCUGGACAGAUACUGACACUCAGAUGCGAAAAGCGUGGGGAGCAAACAGGAUUAGAUACCCCUGGUAG